GAUGAACGCUGGCGGCGUGCCUAAUACAUGCAAGUCGAACGGACAGACGAUAAUCUUGCUUCUCGGAUGUUAGCGGCGCACGGGUGAGUAACACGUGUAUAACCUACCUAUCAUACUGGGAUAACUUCGGGACACCGGAUCUAAUACCAUAUGAUAUUUUGAACCGCAUUGUUCAAAGGUGAGAUACGGUCUUGUUGGCGGUUAUAGAUGGAUCCGCGCUUCAUCAGCUAGUUGGUGGGGUAGCGGCUUACCAAGGCAAUGAUGGAUAGCCGGCCUGAGAGGGUGACCGGCCACAUUGGGACUGAGAUAGGGCCCAGACUCCUACGGGAGGCAGCAGUGGGGAAUAUUGCACAAUGGGCGGAAGCCUGAUGCAGCAACGCCGCGUGCGGGAUGACGGCCUUCGGGGUGUAAACCGCUUUCGCCUGUGACGAAGCGUGAGUGACGGUAAUGGGUAAAGAAGCACCGGCUAACUACGUG
rnacentral:rRNA from 1 species